rnacentral:rRNA from 1 species
CCUACGGGAGGCUGCAGUGGGGAAUAUUGGACAAUGGGGGGAACCCUGAUCCAGCCAUGCCGCGUGUGUGAAGAAGGCCCUCGGGUUGUAAAGCACUUUCAGUGAGGAAGAACGCCUGGUGGUUAAUACCCAUCAGGAAAGACAUCACUCACAGAAGAAGCACCGGCUAACUCCGUGCCAGCAGCCGCGGUAAUACGGAGGGUGCGAGCGUUAAUCGGAAUUACUGGGCGUAAAGCGCGCGUAGGUGGCUUGAUAAGCCGGUUGUGAAAGCCCCGGGCUCAACCUGGGAACGGCAUCCGGAACUGUCAAGCUAGAGGGCAGGAGAGGAAGGUAGAAUUCCCGGUGUAGCGGUGAAAUGCGUAGAGAUCGGGAGGAAUACCAGUGGCGAAGGCGGCCUUCUGGACUGACACUGACACUGAGGUGCGAAAGCGUGGGUAGCAAACAGGAUUAGAUACCCCAGUAGUC